UAUGGUGGCUAUAGCGGUGGUGUUCACCUCUUACCAUUCCGAACAGAGUCGUUAAGCCCACCAGCGCCGAUGGUACUGCUAACGCGGAAGAGUAGGUCGCCACCAAAC
rnacentral:rRNA from 1 species